GACGAACGCUGGCGGCGUGCCUAACACAUGCAAGUCGAGCGGAGUCAGUAAGAGGAAGUUUUCGGAUGGAAUCUUAUUGAUUUAGCGGCGGACGGGUGAGUAACGCGUGAGCGACCAACCUUGCACAGGGGGAUAACGGACCGAAAGGUUCACUAAUACCGCAUGAGACCACGGUGUUGCAUGACACAGAGGUCAAAGGAGCAAUCCGGUGCAAGACGGGCUCGCGUCCGAUUAGGUAGUUGGAGGGGUAACGGCCCACCAAGCCUAUGAUCGGUAGCCGACCUGAGAGGGUGAUCGGCCACAUUGGAACUGAGAUACGGUCCAAACUCCUACGGGAGGCAGCAGUGGGGAAUAUUGGGCAAUGGGGGAAACCCUGACCCAGCAACGCCGCGUGAAGGAAGAAGGUUUUCGGAUUGUAAACUUCUGUCCUUGGUGAAGAGAAGAAGACGGUAGCCAAGGAGGAAGCCCCGGCUAACUACGUGCCAGCCGCCGCGGUAA
rnacentral:rRNA from 1 species